GAUGAACGCUAGCGGGAGGCCUAACACAUGCAAGCCGAGCGGUAGAAAUUCUUCGGAAUCUUGAGAGCGGCGUACGGGUGCGGAACACGUGUGCAACCUGCCUUUAUCAGGGGGAUAGCCUUUCGAAAGGAAGAUUAAUACCCCAUAAUAUAUUUGAUGGCAUCAUUAGAUAUUGAAAGCUUUGGCGGAUAGAGAUGGGCACGCGCAAGAUUAGAUAGUUGGUGAGGUAACGGCUCACCAAGUCGAUGAUCUUUAGGGGGCCUGAGAGGGUGAUCCCCCACACUGGUACUGAGACACGGACCAGACUCCUACGGGAGGCAGCAGUGAGGAAUAUUGGACAAUGGGUUAGCGCCUGAUCCAGCCAUCCCGCGUGAAGGACGACGGCCCUAUGGGUUGUAAACUUCUUUUGUACAGGGAUAAACCUACUCUCGUGAGAGUAGCUGAAGGUACUGUACGAAUAAGCACCGGCUAACUCCGUG
rnacentral:rRNA from 1 species